AGACAGGGUCUGGAAUUCCUGUGCUCAAGAGAUCCUCCCACCUCAACCUCCCAUGUAGCUGGGAUUACAUUUGCGUGCCACCAUACCUGGCUGAUGCCAAUUUUGAAGGAAGUUUCCCUUGGCCUGGACCUGAACCUGCAAUAUCUCCAAGAGAUGUCUGUAAUUGAAGUGACAGUAAGAAGAGGGAAGGAAUGCCACUUUCCUGUGUUGAGCUUGUUCUUAUAGGGUCUCUUGUUCUUGUACAAAGCUGUGAGUCUAACCCAUGCUGCACUGAGGCAGGAUAGUAUAGUGAGAUGGAGACUCACAGAUCUGGGUUCAAAUUCUGGUUUUGCUACAUAUAUAUCUGCAUGGGUUGGGGCAAAUCACUUAAACUCUCCAAGGCUGAUUCCCUGCAGGCUCCCACCCCUACCUCUUAUAGAAUGAAAAAGUGACACCAACCACCUAAGAAGCUUGGAGUAGUCAGUAAAUGAGAUUGUAGAUGUAUGCAUGUGCGUUUGUGCAUGUUUGUAUUUAUAUAAGUGCUUAGUAUAGUGCCUGGCACAAAGCUCAAUAAACAGUAGCUAUUGUUACUGAAUAUAAUCAAGUGUUUCUUAAUUUUCACAUGUUAUAUGGACUUUUAGAUUAAUUCCACUGUCAUCAGAGAACAUAUUGCAGAUAGUUUGACAAGUGCUGAAACAAGGGAAAUACAGGUUAAUAUGGGUGGAAAUAACAGGAACACCUGACAUUUAGGCAGGCUGCCUGCAGAAUGAUUGUAAGCAUAAAACUGAAGGAUAAGUGGGAUAUUCUGCCAGAGAAG
rnacentral:lncRNA from 1 species